AUGGUCACCUACAAACUGGUGCUCAUCCAGCACGGUGAGAGCGCCUGGAACCUGGAGAACCGCCUCAGAGGCUGGUAUGAUGCCAACUAGAGGCCUGCGGGCCACGAAGAGGCGAAGCACAUAGGGCAGGCUCUGCGAGAUGCUCGCUACGAUUUUGGUAUCUGCUUCACCUCAGUGCAGAAAAGAGCAAUCCGGACUCUCUGGACAGUACUGGAUGCCACUGACCAGAUGUGGCUGCCGGUGGUGAGAACUUGGCGUCUCAAUGAGCGGCACUAUGGGGACUGACUGGCCUUAAUAAAGCAGAGACGGCUGCCAAACACUGGGAGGCCCGGGUGACGAUCUGCCGGCGCUCCGACGAUGUCCCACCACCCCGAUGGAGCCUGACCACCCCUUCUACAGCAACAUCAGCAAGGAUCGUAGGUACGCAGACCUCCCUGAAGAUCAGCUGCCUUCCUGUGAGAGUCUGAAAGACACUAUUGCCAGAGCUCUGCCCUUCUGGAAUGAAGAAAUUGUCCCCCAGAUCAAGGAGGGGGAAAAGGUGUUGAUUGCAGACCACGGCAACAGCCCUUGGGGUAUAGUCAAGCAUCUGGAAGGUCUCUCUGAAGAAGCCAUCAUGGAGCUGAACCUGCCAACUGGUAUUCCAAUUUUCUAUGAGUUAGAUAAGUACUUAAAACCCAUCAAGUCCAUGCAGUUCCUAGGGGAUGAAGAGACUGUGCGCAAAGCUGUGGAAGCUGUGGCCAGGGCAAGGCCAAGAAGUGAAGACCACCAGCAGCCUGCUCCCACCCACCCACCCUCCACACCUCUCCCCACCUGUCACACUGACCACAUCUGUAGGCGUCCUGUGUUGUAG